rnacentral:tRNA from 1 species
GCCUGGGUCGCUCAGUCGGUUGAGCAUGUGACUUCGGCUCAGGUCGUGAUCUCACAGUUUGUGGAUUCAAGCCCCGCAUCAGGCU